UACGAAGGGGGCUAGCGUUGCUCGGAAUUACUGGGCGUAAAGGGCGCGUAGGCGGUCAGCACAAGUCAGUUGUGAAAUCUCCGGGCUUAACUCGGAAAGGUCAACUGAUACUGUGCGACUAGAGUGCGGAAGGGGCAACUGGAAUUCUCGGUGUAGCGGUGAAAUGCGUAGAUAUCGAGAGGAACACCUGCGGCGAAGGCGGGUUGCUGGGCCGACACUGACGCUGAUGCGCGAAAGCCAGGGGAGCGAACGGG
rnacentral:rRNA from 1 species